UACGGAGGGUGCGAGCGUUGUCCGGAAUCAUUGGGCGUAAAGGGCGCGUAGGUGGCGGGACAAGCGUGCGGUGAAAGCCUGGGGCUCAACCCCGGGUCGGCCGUGCGAACUGUUUUGCUUGAGCACUGUAGAGGCAGGCGGAAUUCCGGGUGUAGCGGUGGAAUGCGUAGAGAUCCGGAAGAACACCGGUGGCGAAGGCGGCCUGCUGGGCAGUAGCUGACACUGAGGCGCGACACGUGGGGAGCAAACAGGG
rnacentral:rRNA from 1 species